UCGUGUUUCAAUCUAAAUUCUAAAGCCCUGUUUCUCUCUUCUCUUGUCGGGAAUCGCCUCCAUCCACAUGAAGGUUGCACUGAAUCUCUCUCUAUCCACCCUUGCGAGUCCUCUCCGUCGAAUGCUCCUGCAUCUUCGUGUAUCAUUGCCGUUUUGGUUCGAGUUUGGAGGUUUCAACUCAGUUUAGAGUUUGGAUUCGAGCAGCUUUUUCACAGUUUGAUUGUGAUUCGAUUUUGGUGAAGAGUUUGAAUUAAAAUUAACACGAGUAUACAACUUCAUAAACCUAAAUUGGAUGAGCACUUACCAGUUGAAAUGAAGAAAAAUGCGGAUUUCGUUCUCGCUCGCAAGGUGUUCGAUGAAAUGUCCCAACCGGAUUAUUUCUUUCUCGCUUGCUCAUAUUGCGGCACUAGAGGUUGAUCCUCCAGGAUGCGCUUUUAAUCCCACGCAUGAAAGUCAUCAGAAUCUUUCAGACGAAGGACUUGAAUGUAUUUCGAAAUGCAAGAACCUUGUAUCCCUCAAUCUGACUUGGUGUGUACGUGUGACCGAUAAGGGAGUUAUAGCUGUUGCUCAGAGUUGCACCUCUCUUGAAUUUGGUUUGUGGUUUGAGCUUUGUUUCUGCAGGUAACAUUAGGGCUGAGAUAGUUAAAUUUCUUCUUGAGUGGUAAGGAUCAGAGAGAGUUGAGAUGGACGCUACGACGACAUGCAGGCUGGCUGUUGUAUCAAGAUUAAGGGUUGAAGGGAAUUCUGCCAGUAUGAAUAUUACUGCAACUCAGGUAAAAGUCCAUUCAUAGUUAUCAUAGUUCGCUCUAGCAAUAAUAGUUUACUUGAGCAUAACUAAGAAAAUCAAUUCUUAAUCUUAUGACCGAUGCAAUUUGGAAACUGGGGAUGGAGGGCUCCAAGUUCUGUGAGCUUUGACGGGGUACAUACAGAGUCAAAAUGAAACAGCUAUCAACAUGGGAGCAGAAUGGUUUGAAAAUGUCUUUUGGAAUAUGAUGUAUUCUAUAUAUGAAAACUAGAAUGAAAGUGUUGGUUUAAUAGUAUAUCUAACACCUAUACUAAUUCUGAAGUUUCAUUAAAUCCACAUUUCAUUCUCUUAAUAAAAACUUGUGUAGAGUUUAUAAUAAAAGUCAUAAUCCAUUCUCUCUUAGACUUUGUUCUCCCCAUUCAGGAGUUUAUAAUGUAUGUUUUAUGUUUUAUGUAUAUCUUAUUUCUUUAUUCUUUUUUCUUCAAAAUCUUAUUUCUCCUUAGCGUAAUAUUACAAUAAGAAGUCAUAUGGAUUGUUGAAUUUACAGAAGUUCAUGCCGCGGUGGACAUCAUAGGGGAAAAGUGAUUUCAUCUACGGUUUUGCCAGAUGUUCAGCCUCCCAUGGAUGCUGUGGAGUAUGCUGAAUGUGAAGCUGUUGUGAAGGACUUUCCUCCGUUUCAAGAGGCAAUGAAGAAGAGAGGAAUUGAAGAUAUGGAUCUUGUGAUGGUUGAUCCUUGGUUAGUUAGUUACUACAUCAAGAUAAUUAAUUUCAUUGACAUGAUACAAUUUAUUUGAUCCAUUCAUUUCACUAAUAAUUAAUUAUAAUU